AACGAACGCUGGCGGCAGGCUUAACACAUGCAAGUCGAGCGCCCCGCAAGGGGAGCGGCAGACGGGUGAGUAACGCGUGGGAAUCUACACACCUCUACGGAAUAACGCAUGGAAACGUGUGCUAAUACCGUAUACGUCCUUCGGGAGAAAGAUUUAUCGGAGAUGGAUGAGCCCGCGUUGGAUUAGCUAGUUGGUGGGGUAAAGGCCUACCAAGGCGACGAUCCAUAGCUGGUCUGAGAGGAUGAUCAGCCACACUGGGACUGAGACACGGCCCAGCCGCCUACGGGAGGCAGCAGUGGGGAAUAUUGGACAAUGGGCGCAAGCCUGAUCCAGCCAUGCCGCGUGAGUUAUGAAGGCCCUAGGGUUGUAAAGCUCUUUCACCGGUGAAGAUAAUGACGGUAACCGGAGAAGAAGCCCCGGCUAACUUCGUGCCAGCCGCCGCGGUAAGAC
rnacentral:rRNA from 1 species